rnacentral:rRNA from 1 species
GACGAACGCUGGCGGCGUGCUUAACACAUGCAAGUCGAACGAUGAAGCCGGAGCUUGCUCUGGUGAAUUAGUGGCGAACGGGUGAGUAACACGUGAGUAACCUGCCCUUGACUCUGGGAUAACUGCGGGAAACUGUAGCUAAUACCGGAUACGACCCUCGGAGGCAUCUCCUGGGGGUGGGAAGAAUUUCGGUCAAGGAUGGACUCGCGGCCUAUCAGCUAGUUGGUGAGGUAAAGGCUCACCAAGGCGACGACGGGUAGCCGGCCUGAGAGGGUGACCGGCCACACUGGGACUGAGACACGGCCCAGACUUCUACGGGAGGCAGCAGUGGGGAAUAUUGCACAAUGGGCGCAAGCCUGAUGCAGCAACGCCGCGUGAGGGAUGACGGCCUUCGGGUUGUAAACCUCUUUUAGCAGGGAAGAAGCGAAAGUGACGGUACCUGCAGAAAAAGCACCGGCUAACUACGUGCCAGCAGCCGCCGUAA